rnacentral:rRNA from 1 species
UACAGAGGGGGCAAGCGUUGUUCGGAAUUACUGGGCGUAAAGGGCGCGUAGGCGGCCUGUUAAGUCGAACGUGAAAUCCCCGGGCUCAACCCGGGAACUGCGUCCGAUACUGGCAGGCUUGAAUCCGGGAGAGGGAUGCGGAAUUCCAGGUGUAGCGGUGAAAUGCGCAGAUAUCAGGAGGAACACCGAUUGCGAAGGCAGCUCGCUGGAACGUUACUGACGCUGAGACGCGAAAGCGUGGGGAGCAAACAGG